rnacentral:misc_RNA from 1 species
AUUUUUCUUUUCCACAUCUUCUGCUGGCUGACCCUCUUUCUUCUCAUUGGCAACAUCAGGUAAGUCGUCUGGACCUUUCUCCUUUGGUUCAACCCCAAAAUCAGCUAAAAGUGAGUCCAAUUCAGCAAGCUCCUUCUUCCUUCUCUCUUUCUUUGAUAGCUGUCUCUCAGCUUCUUUAGGAGCUGGUGACGCUUCUAUCUUUGGGCCUACUGGAUCAGCAUGUUCUGGAACCUCAGAUUCGUGGUCAUUGUCCUCCACAUCUUCAUCUUCAUCAAGA